rnacentral:rRNA from 1 species
AGUUUUAGGACUAGCGUUAUGAUAAAUUAGCGGAGGUAAAGCACUGAAUGGGCUAGGGGCGCGCGAGCGUUACCGAACUCUAUCAAACUCUGAAUGCCGCAUAAUUGUUUCAUAGCAGUCAGACUACGGGAGAUAAGUUUCGUGGUCAAAAGGGGAAGAGCCCAGACCUACAUCUAAGGUCCCAAAAUAUGCUUAAGUGGAGAAGGAUGUCUUGCCGCACAGACAACCAGGAUGUUGGCUUAGAAGCAGCCACCAUUUAAAGAGUGCGUAAUAGCUCACUAGUCGAGUGACCCUGCGCCGAAAAUUUACCGGGGCUAAACAUAUUACCGAAGCUUUGGAUUGAUUUAAUCAAUGGUAGGAGAGCGUUCUAUUCAGCGACGAAGGUAUACCGUGAGGAGUGCUGGAGCGAAUAGAAGUGAGAAUGCCGGUAUGAGUAGCGCAAGACAAGUGAGAAUCUUGUCCACCGUAAGACUAAGGAUUCCAGGGGAAGGCUCGUCCGCCCUGGGUUAGUCGGGCCCUAAGGCGAGGCCGAAAGGCGUAGUCGAUGGACAACAGGUUGAUAUUCCUGUACUAGAAUGUAUCGUGAAGGAGGGACGCAGGAGGCUAAGGGAAGCCAGUUAAUGGAUUCUGGUCUAAGCCGUGAGGUGUGAGGUGUGUCAAAUGCAUGCUUCUAUAACAUUGAGCGGUAAUGGGGAAGCUACUUCGGUAGCGAAGUCUCUGAUGUCACACUGCCAAGAAAAGCUUCUAGCGAAAAGUACAUUCUACCCGUACCGCAAACCGACACAGGUAGUCGAGGCGAGUAGCCUCAGGUGAUCGAGCGAACUCUCGUUAAGGAACUCGGCAAAAUGACCCCGUAACUUCGGGAGAAGGGGUGCUUUCUUAACGGAAAGCCGCAGUGAAUAGGCCCAAGCGACUGUUUAGCAAAAACACAGCUCUCUGCGAAGCCGUAAGGCGAAGUAUAGGGGGUGACACCUGCCCGGUGCUGGAAGGUUAAGGAGAGGGGUUAGCGUAAGCGAAGCUCUGAACUGAAGCCCCAGUAAACGGCGGCCGUAACAAUAACGGUCCUAAGGUAGCGAAAUUCCUUGUCGGGUAAGUUCCGACCCGCACGAAAGGUGUAACGAUUUGGGCACUGUCUCAACCAGAGACUCGGUGAAAUUAUAGUACCUGUGAAGAUGCAGGUUACCCGCGACAGGACGGAAAGACCCCGUGGAGCUUUACUGUAGCCUGAUAUUGAAUUUUGGUACAGUUUGUACAGGAUAGGCGGGAGCCUUUGAAACCGGAGCGCUAGCUUCGGUGGAGGCGCUGGUGGGAUACCGCCCUGACUGUAUUGAAAUUCUAACCUACGGGUCUUAUCGACCCGGGAGACAGUGUCAGGUGGGCAGUUUGACUGGGGCGGUCGCCUCCUAAAGUGUAACGGAGGCGCCCAAAGGUUCCCUCAGAAUGGUUGGAAAUCAUUCGUAGAGUGCAAAGGCAUAAGGGAGCUUGACUGCGAGACCUACAAGUCGAGCAGGGACGAAAGUCGGGCUUAGUGAUCCGGUGGUUCCGCAUGGAAGGGCCAUCGCUCAACGGAUAAAAGCUACCCCGGGGAUAACAGGCUUAUCUCCCCCAAGAGUUCACAUCGACGGGGAGGUUUGGCACCUCGAUGUCGGCUCGUCGCAUCCUGGGGCUGUAGUCGGUCCCAAGGGUUGGGCUGUUCGCCCAUUAAAGCGGUACGCGAGCUGGGUUCAGAACGUCGUGAGACAGUUCGGUCCCUAUCCGUCGUGGGCGUAGGAAAUUUGAGAGGAGCUGUCCUUAGUACGAGAGGACCGGGAUGGACGCACCGCUGGUGUACCAGUUGUUCUGCCAAGGGCAUAGCUGGGUAGCUAUGUGCGGAAGGGAUAAGUGCUGAAAGCAUCUAAGCAUGAAGCCCCCCUCAAGAUGAGAUUUCCCAUAGCGUAAGCUAGU